UACGGAGGGUUCAAGCGUUAUCCGGAUUUACUGGGGUUACAGGGUGCGUAGGCGUACUUUUAAGUCAGUGGUGAAAGCUCCGAGCUUAACUCGGAAACUGCCAUUGAUACUAUUAGUCUUGAAUUCGGUUGAGGUUGGCGGAAUGUGUCGUGUAGCGGUGAAAUGCUUAGAUAUGACACAGAAAACCGAUUGCGAAGGCAGCUAGCUAAACCGACAUUGACGCUGAGGCACGAAAGCGUGGGGAUAAAACAGG
rnacentral:rRNA from 1 species